AACGCACCUUGCGCCCUUUGGCUAUUCCGAAGGGCAUGCCUGUUUGAGUAUCAUGAACACCUCAACUCUCGUGGUUUGCUACGAUGAGCUUGGACUUUGGGGGUCUUGCUGGCCUGUGGUCGGCUCCUCUCAAAUGAAUCAGCUUCCCAGUGUUUGGUGGCGUCGCAGGUGUGAUAACUAUCUACGCUUGUGGUUUUCCACCAGAUAACCUUCAGUGAUGGAGGUUCGCUGGGGCUCAUAAACGUCUUUCCUCAGCGAAGACAGCUUUUUGAACGUUUGAUCUCAAAUCAGGUAGGACUACCCGCUGAACUUAA
rnacentral:misc_RNA from 2 species